ACCCGUUGAUCCUGCGGGAGGUCGCUACUAUUAGGGUUCGACUAAGCCAUGCAAGUCAGAGGGGCUCUUCGGAGUCACAGGCAAAAUGCUCAGUAACACGUCGUUAAUCUAACCUUAGAUCUGGGAUAACCUUGGAAAACUGAGGCUAAAACUGGAUAUGGGAAAAUAAUUGGAAAAUGUUUUCCUUCAAAAGCAAUGUCUAAGGAUGAGGCGGCGGCGGAUUAGGUUGUUGGCGGGGUAAUGGCCCACCAAGCCGACGAUCCGUAGGGGCCGUGAGAGCGGUAGCCCCGAGAAGGACACUGAGAUACUGGUCCUAGCCCUACGGGGUGCAGCAGGCGCGAAACCUUUACAAUGCACGAAAGUGUGAUAAGGGAACCCUAAGUGCUCAUGUUAUUACAUGGGCUUUUGCCAAGUGUAAAUAACUUGGCGAAUAAGUGGUGGGAAAGACUGGUGCCAGCAGCCGCGGUAACACCAGCGCCACAAGUAGGGACCACAACUAUUGGGCCUAAAGCGUCCGUAGCCGGUCAAAUAAAUCUCUUGUGAAAUUGUUGGGCUCAACCUAACAACGUGCAGGAGACACUAUUUGACUUGGAACCGGGAGAAGUCAGGAGUAUGCUGGGGGGAGCGGUAAAAUGUUAUAAUCCCCGGUAGACUACCAGUGGCGAAGGCGCCUGACUAGAACGGAUUCGACGGUGAGGGACGAAAGCUAGGGGAGCGAAGCGGAUUAGAUACCCGUGUAGUCCUGGCCGUAAACGCUGCGAGCUAGGUGUUGCAUAUUCUCAAUGAAUAUGCAGUAUCGAAGCGAAGGUGUUAAGCUCGCCGCCUGGGAAGUAUGGUCGCAAGGCUGAAACUUAAAGGAAUUGGCGGGGGAGCACUACAAGGGGUGCGGCGUGCGGUUUAAUCUAAUUCAACACAGAGAAUCUCACCAGAAGCGACGGCAGGAUGAAAGUCAGGCUGAAGACCUUACUUGACGAGCCGAGAGGUAGUGCAUUGCCGCCGUCAGCUCGUGCUGUAAAGUGUCCUGUUAAGUCAGGCAACGAGCGAGACCUGCAUCUACAAUUGCUAACGGAUUCAUCAGAAUGACUGAGCACAUUGUAGAGACUGCCCUGGAAACAGGGAGGAAGGUGCAGGCUACGGUAGGUCUGUAUGCUCCGAAUCUUCAGGGCUACACGCGCGCAACAAUGGUAAGGACAAUGGGAUGCGACUCUGAAAAGAGAAGCUAAUCCUCGAAACCUUAUCUAAGUCUAGAUUGAGGAUUGUAACUCAUCCUCAUGACAAUGGAAUCCCUAGUAAUCAGAGUUUAUCAUACUCCGGUGAACAUGUCCCUGCUCCUUGCACACACCGCCCGUCAAGCCACCCGAGUAGGGUUUAGGUGAGUUGUAGAUUUUAUUUGCACCGAACCUAAGCUCAGCGAGGAGGGCUAAGUCGUCACAAGGUA
rnacentral:rRNA from 1 species